AUACGUAGGGGGCGAGCGUUGUCCGGAAUGAUUGGGCGUAAAGGGCGCGUAGGCGGCGCGGUAAGUCUGGAGUGAAAGUCCUGCUUUCAAGGUGGGAAUUGCUUUGGAUACUGCCGCGCUUGAGUGCAGGAGAGGUUAUCGGAAUUCCCGGUGUAGCGGUGAAAUGCGUAGAGAUCGGGAGGAACACCAGUGGCGAAGGCGGGUAACUGGACUGCAACUGACGCUGAGGCGCGAAAGUGUGGGGAACAAACAGGAUUAGAUACCCUGGUAGUCCACACUGUAAACGAUGAAUGCUAGGUGUAGGGGGUAUCGACCCCUUCUGUGCCGCAGUCAACACAAUAAGCAUUCCGCCUGGGGAGUACGGCCGCAAGGUUGAAACUCAAAUGAAUUGACGGGG
rnacentral:rRNA from 1 species